GAUUUGAUAUUUUUUUACCCUUUUAACCUUAUUUUGUGUGGAGAUUGUGAAUGCUUACUGUCUUCUAUUCCUUUUACGGUUUUCUUUGGGCAGAAGCCUUGAAUUUUAGAAUAAAGUUAAGGUUUUCAUGUUCUUCUUCGUCUUUAUUCUAUCUUUUAACCUGUAAGAUCAAAAGGCUUUCUUGAACUACCAUGGUUUUGAUUUAAAAGAUUUUCCUUUUCAAGAAGGGAACGUCGGUAUCCCUUUCAUAUCUGGAGGUUU